rnacentral:lncRNA from 1 species
CUCCAUCAGCCGCGCUGACUCGUCUUUCAGAGUAAGCUCCCUGCAGAGAGCCCAUGGGUGACAUGAAGCUGGCCUCGGACACCACAUCUUCUGGCUUCCCUGGCCUCUGGCCCUGUUGUUUCCUGGACCUUGGCCACGGCUGAAGUUCAGGCUCCUCGUGAUAACAGGCUGCUGAUGGCUUCUGAUGAAUGAAAACCCGGGCAAAGACGGUGCUUCUCCUCCCUCCUGGCCCCUUGCAUGUUAGGGAAAUUUGAGUAGCACAAAGAGAGAUGGUCUCCCUGAGGGUCUUCACAAGGCCCCAUCCAAGUAUCUCCAGGAUGUGGGCAGCUCUCUGAGCACACGGAGGUCCUUGCGACGGCCGCACACAUGGUGGGGGAUGAAAAACGUUUCUUUCUCUGGGAAUCCUGGGGUGGGAACCUCACCUAGUGGCUAGGCGGACACACAGCACAGGGUGGAUUCAGGCCCGCCUCACCCUAUGAGAGAGGAGGGGCCCCUCUCAGGAACACUGGAGGUGGUUGAUUGCGACCAAAGGCUCUGCCGUGGGGACUAAUUCCCACCCUUGGAAUUCAGUAGACUUUUCUGUUGUUGGAUCCCCAGAAAGCCCCAAAUCAAGUUUGAAUUUCUCUAUGGAAGACUGUGGCACCUGGAACCACAGAGCACGUUCCCCGUGACAUGGGAUGUGACACUGCUUAUCAGAAGCCGCCUGGGUCUUCGGGACAGAGUCUACUUUAAUGUAAACUGGAACCCAGGGAAGGUAAACUGAGACACAGCCCUGCGUGUUGACUUCAGGGUGGUUGGAGAGUUCUAUGGAGAGGAAGGAACGUGGUGAGUGGUGGAGACAGGAUUCAGGGCGCCAUUCUGAAGGACCGGCCUUCAGCAGGGGACUCCGUAUUCUGGUUUCCGGUCUAUUUACAGCAUCUCUCUCUCUCUCUCUCGCUUUCUCUCCCCUUUCCUGCCACACUUUGAUCCAUUCUCGUAAAGCAGGAGAGAGACUCCUUGGUUUAUAGCCACUGUCUAAACAUUGCGAUGCUUUCUAUGUGAGCAUGGCAGUCACUCUGUUUCUAUCUUUAAUACUGUAACUGCUCAUCGGUUUAGCUCUUCUCUACCAAUUGGAGAAAUGCACAAGAUUCAGGGAGAUCAUUUGUGAGAAAAGGCAUCGCUGUUCUUCAAGCCCCCAUCUUCAAAGCAAACAUCUCUCUGGCAGAACCCAAGAAAAAUUCCAGUUGGGUUUUCAAGAGCUAAUUAAGCCACUGCACGGCUUCAUGCGAAACCCUUCUCCCUCCCCAUCUCCUUCUCAGUUUCUUCAAGAUUAGGCUGAGGUUGGAAAGCAAACCCGAAAGCAUCUCCAACCGCGUUAUUUCUGGGCUGUGUUGAUGCAUGAAGCCACAUCUGGCUCAGGAUGGAGACUCAGGGUCUGGGCAAGUUGACAAAUCCAAAGGCACCUGCUGUCGAGCGAGGACUGAAGCCACCGCUGACACUGUGCCCAGCAAAACCAGCACACACGGACUAUUAACUGGUCGACUUUGCUCCUGGGGGCGUGGAAGGCAGAAUCAAAGUGAAUAAUGUAAGCAUUCCCCAGGCAGGGCCGGCACACCCUGCUCUGGGAAAAUAAAAAUAAAUGUUGAUGCUGGUGGAUUGUAAAAUCCCCUACCACUUCCGUUAUUCCAUCCUGUGCUUUUGAGUCGAACACAUUAAGCUCACCAGGGGAGACUGGCUCUGACAUAGCGCUGUGUCCCUCUUCCUGAAACGAAAGCCGUCUGUCUGACGAGGACAUUGAGGACCCGUAAUUUACUACCUCUGCUACAAUUCUAAAUGCUCCCCCACCGCAGGGAUUGAAACGUUCUUCCUAUAAUUAUAGUGGAAUCAAAAGUCUAGCCGGCUAAUGCGUGGAGCUUCUGUGCCAGCUAUUUAUAAUAGGGGCUUCUCAGCCAAUAUGUUGUUUUUAAUAUGUCAUCUAUAUGACAUUGUCAGGAUCAACCUGUCCUUAUUUUCUGUGUUUCUCCCCUAAAAUAAUAUUAUUACUUAAACAUAUAAAUAUUUGUGAGACUAAAAAGAAAAAGAAAAAUACCUGAAAAUGUAAAACCCAGCCAAGCCCGGUUGCCUCUUGGUUGGCCAUGGAAGGAUUCUUUGGGAGGGAGGCCCAGGGUGGGGUGUUGCUGGCUGCCUGAGGCCAAGGGGGCUCUCUGGGAAAGCAGUCUCCACACUCUGGGCCUGUUAGUCCGGGUCCCUGAUGAGAAUGGCCUUCUCUCUUUGGGAAACACUCCUGCUCCCUGGUAGUGUGGCGUCAACGGGGAGAUGCUACCUAGUGUGGCCCAAGAUGCGCUUUUGUCCAACUCAUCCCACUCACAGAUCCGGCUGUGGUGCAGCUUCGUGGCUAUCUCACAGGUCACAGUGUUAUUCUGGCAUCGGAAUCCCCCAGCGCUGCUAUCCAAAUUCUCUCCAACAGAGAAGGCGGCAGGCAGUGGCUGGUGCUGGAGAAGCCUCUAGGUCUGCCAAAGUCUGGUUUUGGCAGUCGGGGCUGGGGGCUCCCCCAGCAAGCAGCAGCGCUGUCCAACCCAUUCUGGUCCAAGGACAAGUGGUGCCUUCCUUCUUCUGACUCAGACCCCCGGCUACCUUUCCCUUUCGCCUGCGGAAGCGACGGGGCGUGCAUGGCAAAGCUGCCACGGAACAGGUGUGGAGGUGAUGGUGAGUGGCAAACCUCCGUGCCCAAGUGGGACACAGCUUGUACUUUCUUGAAUUGUUGAAUUUGAAAGCUUGAAGAAGCCUGCAGGAUCCACACCAACACUUUUGUUAUUUUGCACAUGAGAACACUGCAGCUUAGAACGUCGGGGUGUCUUGCCCAAGUGGCCCCGCUGGGCUGAUGGGGUCCCCUGAUUGCUACCACGUGUUCUUUCCAACACAGCAACGCUUUCUCGCUACCCAGUCUGUUCAGAUUGCCCUCUAGGAAUUGGAAACGGCCCCCAGAUGCAUCCAUUUCUUCUCUUUCUGCAUAAAGUGCUGAUCACAGACACUGAAAGAGUCGUUUCUAUUAGAGAUGGGAACGUUGGACUGGGUUUAAUGUGGAUGUUUCUACAGCAGAACUAACAGAGCAGCACCUCCCCAGUGCCCCCUGCAAAGCACCGCGGUCUGCGCACGGCUCCGGGAGGUCACGGCCUUCCCUUUAUUGGCAAACACAAAGCUGGCAGAUGAUACUUAGGAGUCACAUCUCUAAGUCCACCGUCUUUAUUCUCUUCCCUAUUUGGAUUUCUUUUUCAGUAUUCUGAUCUUAGAAUUUGUACUGAAAAAGUGAAAAAAAAUUGAAAACCGUUGGAUUCUCCAGAUUUCACUGGAGCUGAUGAUAAUUAUCACAUUCUUAAUACCAAACUUUUACACUUUUACACAAGUUCUUGAGAAGUCCCAAAUUAUGAAAACCUCUAGAAUAGAUUGGUGGGAGAAUAAUUGUCUCAACCAUCCAGAAAUCAGUUUAUUGAAUUGGUUGAUUUGAUGUUAGUUGUCGUAAUUGAUGACUGGUGCCUUCUGAGGAGAGAACAAAAAAGAAAACAGUGCUUUAUCCUCAAGGCACCUGUGGGCUAAGAGGAGCCAGUAACACCUGGAGCUGUGAUACUAGAAAAAGGUAACAUGAGAGGAAUCUGUAAAGUGCUAUGAAAAUCCACAAAAGGAUGACAACUGCUAGAGAGAUGGUAAAAGGGCUCCAUGGCAGGUGCAUUGCACAGGGGAAGUGGAUUUCAAAAUCAUAGAAUGAAUCCAACCAGAUGGAAAAAACAAUCAGGUCUUGGAGACAAGAAUAAACAGGGCUCUCCUAGGGAAUGAUGGGAGUUCAGUUUGGAUGAAGCAAAGUGUCAUUCCAGGGGGCAUGAGGCCGGCGUGCCUGGGAGCCCGGGUAGGCUGGACUUUGUCAAGGGAACAACAGAGAACUGGAGACUCCCGGCCCUGGAGCGACCUUCCAAGGUCAUCCAGCCUGACCCUCUCCCAGGGUCAUCUGACCUGACCCUCUCCCAGCUGCGUCCAUCCCGUCUCACACCUUCCUAGCCAUGGUCCUGGGCAAAUGAUUCCCCUAGCCACUUACACACCCAUUUCUGCUCAGCUGUAGCAAAAUCAGUCAG